GCCUGUGCCCCCGGGGGUUUGCACUCUUAUAACUGCAAAGCCUCUUUCCUACCUGGGAAGCCCAUGACCUCCACCGGGACCUGGGAUCCACACAGAAGCCGCAGCCCCUUCUGCUGGGGCUUGCACCAGUGGUAGUACAGGCGGGAGGCGAAGAUGCCCAGGUUCAGAUGGUCGUGAGCCUUGAUGAAGUCAACCAGCUCCCAGGCACAGGAGGAGCAGGGGCUCCACGUGAGGUAACAGGACUUCCACAUCUUUCUGUAAAUUGGACAAAGAUCCCUGUGUCCAGAGGAGGAGACAACACCUCCACGCCCCAGUCCCGAAGCUCUGUGGACCCUGCCUUUGGACACCCGCCUAGGAGGCUGUGUCCAACCCGGGAUGAUCCUAAAGAGCAGGUGAGAGCCGGGGCGGGGGGCGGGGAGGCGGGGAGGCAGGGCAGGUAGGGGCUGGCAAUAGAGCGGAGAGGACAGGGGUGUGAUGGAGUUGCACUCGGACCGUGGCACGGCACCUCGGCUUUCCCGAAGUAGUGACUGAGCUGAGAUCGGGAGAAUGAGUAAAUGAGAGGGGCAGAAGGAGCAUUCUACAGAAGGGUUGGCCUCUUCAGAGGUCCGGGGACGGGAAAGAAUGGGAGUGUCCUAGGGAAACUGGGCCACUCAGAUCCAGCUAAGCCAAAACCCAGGCAGGCACCAAGGGUUACGAAAACACAGAGGGUGU
rnacentral:lncRNA from 1 species